GAUCAUGUUCAGGAGAAGGCUCAUGACUUGAACAAUGCUACUGAUGCUAACCAGACCUACACCGAGAAGGCUACGAACACGGCGUAUGCUGCUAAGGACAAAGUGGCAGACACCUUGGGAUUGAACCAGCCUUCAACGGGUCCGACCUUCACAGAGAAGGCAAAGGAUACAUUGGGAUAUAACCAGCCAUCUACAGGUCCGACCUUUACAGAGAGGGCGAAGGAUACCUUGGGCAUGAAUCAGUCCUCGACGGGUCCUUCUGUGGUUGACCAAGCAAAGGGCUACCUCGGAGCUGCUGCUGACACCACUCGGGAUCAG
rnacentral:lncRNA from 1 species